CCAAACCGAGAGAACCAGGGCUUAGAAGAGUUCAUCUUCUUUGUGGGUAUGGAUGACACAGUCAGACUGCGGGUAAGCCACACAAGUCAAGACAUAACCUUUCUCAAAGUGAUGAUCCUCAAGAAACGAACCAUCACCCUGGUCAACUUGACCUUUCUCGAUCUUACCGGCGCAGGUGGAACAGGCACCGGCUCUGCAAGAGUAAGGCAAGUCAACUCCAGCUUCUUCAGCUGCAUCCAAUAUGUACUGGUCGUCUGGGACCUCAAACUCGUUUGCUUGGCCAUCGGGUCCGAUGAGCUUGACCUUGUACACUGCUGACAUGGUGGCACCAGAGUUGGCUGAGCAUUUCAAGCCAAAGGAUCUCGAGACUUUGUUGACUGAUCCAAGGGAGAGUUUGUUAGUGAUGGGCCUGUUGGUGGGCUGGCUUCUAAGAACCGCCUUACAAGUCAUGCUAGUGGUAGAAACUUGAACGGUUGCCAUUUUAUUAAGCACCUGCAAAAAAAGUUAUGUUUCAGAAACCUAUAUCAUCUUUACACAAAUACUAAUCUCUAUGAUGACAAUGAAAACAAGUAAAGAUUGACUGAUGUGUAUCACAAGUAGCAAGUGGAAACAAGAACCAUAAGAGAAUCUGUUCCAAUAGGCAAAAACUGAUGAGAGAGUUUUUAAUGUAUGGAGCGUAAUGAGAAGAUGCAAGCUUGAAAGCUUAUAUUAGCUCUUCACUCGAUGCUCCAAAACACAUAGGACUAAUGACUAUUUCGUAAUUAAUCAUUAAACAUGAUUAGUUAUCAUCAAAUCGACUCUUAAUUACGAACCAAGAUUUCAGCUCUAGAACAACAAAUAUCGACAAACUUUCAACAAAUCACAAAAGUUGAUCACUAGCUAGGGUGUUUGAUAAACUGAUUUGAUUUUAGAUUUCGAUUUAGCAUAUCAAAAGCAAUAUGACAUCAAAUAAGUCAUUAUCAGACUAAUCGAAAGAUAUUUAGUAGAGAAGAAAUUUAUUUUGUCCCCACAAAGAAGUCAAAUAAAAGCAAGAAGCAAAGGUAGGUUUCAAAUACAAACAUCGUUCAUCAUAAACACCGAAACAAUUAAUAGGGGAACAACAUAAUAAAAUAGAAUCAUAUAAUCUCAGAUUCUAAAACUUACACAGAGAGAAGGAAGGAGGAGGAGUAGGAGGCGGAAACUACGAGAGGGGUUGGUGGAGAGGUGAAUGAUUUAUAAAACGGAAGAGUCGGGAAGUGCGGCUUUUCGAAGGCCGUGACGGCCCAACUUUGUCGACUAUUAUUUUUUGUUUUUUUUUUUUCAUUUAGUGGACAGUAUUUAUGAUAACUACUACAUCUACAUUUUAUUUAUUUAUGCUAAUCAGGUCAUUAAGUGUCUAAAUAGUGAUGAUAUUAAUUUUAGAUCGAAUUGUUGGCAAAAAAAAUUAGAAUUUACAAAAGUAUACACGCCUAAUAAAUUCAUAACGUUGGCCAAGUAAUCUAUUUAUAAUUUAACUAUUAAGAAAUGAAUGUCUAAAAAAAGAGACGAAUAUCCUCUCUAAAUUCAGAGUUGGAAACAAUUAUUUGAAUAACAGAAAGUAUACUAAGUAUCUUAAUGAUCAUCGUCAUACUUCUCAGCAGAGUUUAAUCUUUCAAAAUUUCUUACAUUUUUGGGAUCAAAAUAUAAUGAGGAUUCAAUAGCUAAAACUCUUACCAUUUUCAAAUUACCACUUUUAAUGUUUACACUAACCACUUUUACUCUAUCUCUAAUGAAGGGUAAAAAAUAUUUAUAACUUUUAGAUUAACUUUGACAAAAAAAAAAACACAUGGUUAACUAAUCUAAACUUAAAACAUCAACUCUAAACCCUAAACCAUGAAACAUCAACCCUAAACCUUAAACCCCGAAACAUCAACUCUAAACCUUAAACGUAAACCCUAAACCCUAAAUCUAAAUUUAAAACAACAACUCUAAACCCUAAAUCAUCAACUCUAAACCUUAAACCAUGAAACAUCAACUCUAAAACCUAAACCCCGAAACAUCAAUUCUAAACACUAAACUCUAAACCUUCGAAUCUAAACCUUAAAAUAUCAACCCUAAACCCUAAAACCCUAAACCUUCAAAUCUAAACCCUAAAACAUCAACUCUAAACCCUAAACGUAAACCCUAAACCCUAAACCUUCAAAUCUAAACCCUAAAACAUUAACUCUAGGGUUUUAGGGUUUAGGGUUUAGAGUUUAGGGUUUAGGGUUUAGGGUUUAGAGUUUAUGGUCUAGGGUUUAGAUUUGAAGGUUUAGGGUUAAUUUUUUAGGGUUUAGGGUUUAGAGUUUACCUUUUGGGGUUUAAGGUUUAGUGUUGAUAGUUUAGGGUUUCGGGAAUUCGCCUAUGGGCAUCGGCGACUAAAAGACGCUGGGAUAGACUCAUGUUCUCCGUAUCUCGUAGAGCAUCGCGAUGAAUCAGGUCGAACUCAUCCAGCGGCCUACCAUUUGCUGUCACGUCUCUAGUCGGACUCGGAGAAGUAGCGAUACCUCUUCCCUUCUCCUCGCACGAUAAUCGACUUCUCGAAGGCAUGUUUUCUAACCCUGGGGACGACUAAACCAGCGGGCUAGACUAGCAACUCUACUCGACGAAAGCCGUAUCUAGAGAGAGAAAGUAAAAGUAGAGAGAAGGGAGAGAAAGCGGAAUACUUGAGUCUGCAGAGAAGAAUGACGAAAGUGAAAGGGAAAGAUCUACUUAUAGUAAAAAUGGGGGCACGUUUCCCAAAUGCAAUCAUUAGGUUUAGAAGGGCCUAAAUGGGCCUCAAGGGCCGCCUACACGCCCAGAAACCUACUCGCGACGGUUUGGUUUCUCGCUUAAACCGGCUUCCGAUUGGAUAGUCAAACCGGAAUCAAUCUCCGAUUUUGAUCUAAACUGAUUCUCGGUCAAACAGCGAAACCGGCCCCAUCAUUUCACCCGAAGUAAUCUGUCGCCCGAGUAAAACAUGCCCCCAUAGCAAAGACAAAAGAAGCAAGCAAGUCAUGAUAGACUCUACUCGAGUGACUAAACGCGUCAAGCAAUGACCAGAGAGACGAGAAAAAAUCUCUCCACCGGUUCCGAGUAAAAACAACAUGCGACCAACGGGGGGAGGACUGCUUCUCGCGCUAAAAUCUGUUAUUCGAAUGAACAUGACCCACAAAUUCACUGAGACCGCUACGCCGCUCACAAGUGAACUGGGGGGGGAAUUAUUGUAGGAGAUGGAUUACAUCCCUCCACAAGGCCCAUCGAAUAACAUGACCUAGCCCAGCAAGCUGGCCUAAUUCAUCCGGCUCGGCGAGUAGAGUCGUCAACUCGGCCCUAGAGUGCUUUUAGCCGUUGGGAAAGCCGACCAAAAGCACCCGGCUCGGAGGAACUCCACCCAGGUCCGUAUACUCGGCUCCCCGAACUAAGGCCCAGAGAGGACCGAAAUUAGGGCAUCAAGGAGAGGAAGCCUAUAAAGGAGGAGAAGAGAAUAUAAAGAAAGGGGGACUGGACACACACAUAUACUGAGCGGCUAGAUCUAGGGUUUUUAGUCUCUAUUCAUUCCUAAUCGCUCUGUAUCUCUCUGGGUUUGCUCCUCGAAGCUUCGGUUUGUUUUCUUGAUCUCUUGUCAUCCUUGUAACCCAUUUAAUCGGUCUAAUAAAACGUCUUUAGUCAUCCCAUUUCGAGUUCUUUCAACCUAGUCGACUGAAUCCCGUACAAACAUCGGUGAUCGAGAUUUAAGCUUUGGUUGGUACGAACAGUUGAGUUUUGAAGAUUUGUGUGGGACUGAAAUUUCACACGGGUGCUUAUCUCCACUUCAUACCCCAACUUAGAAGCUAUGGUAUGCUUUUUGUCUUUUUCUUUGUUUUUUGCAAAAGUCGUUCUUGAUGGGUUUUAAAUUCAGAUUGUUCAGAGCUGCUGAAAAUGUUAGAUAAUCAACUGAAUUGGCAUGAGAUGUUCAUAAUUUACCAUUUGGGUUCGGUUAUAAAAGAAAAACUACCCUUUCGCCAGCUUGAAAACCAAAAUAUUAUAGCGACGAAACAGAUAACGAUCACAUGAACCAGUAGAAACCAUAAAGAUUGGUUACUUAAACCCUUUUAUUAACCAGUGGCAACUCGGUGACAGAGAUUGACGAACACUGUAAGGCAUAACAUGAGACGUUUUUCAUACAAAAGCAUACCUUUAGAAACCGAUAAUAAUAAUAACUCAAAAUCAACAAUCUGCAUCACUACCACCAAACCGAGAGAACCAGGGCUUAGAAGAGUUCAUCUUCUUUGUGGGUAUGGAUGACACAGUCAGACUGCGGGUAAGCCACACAAGUCAAGACAUAACCUUUCUCAAAGUGAUGAUCCUCAAGAAACGAACCAUCACCCUGGUCAACUUGACCUUUCUCGAUCUUACCGGCGCAGGUGGAACAGGCACCGGCUCUGCAAGAGUAAGGCAAGUCAACUCCAGCUUCUUCAGCUGCAUCCAAUAUGUACUGGUCGUCUGGGACCUCAAACUCGUUUGCUUGGCCAUCGGGUCCGAUGAGCUUGACCUUGUACACUGCUGACAUGGU
rnacentral:lncRNA from 1 species